AUGACCUCCGAUCAGGU
rnacentral:rRNA from 1 species